GCCGAAGUGGCGGAACUGGCAGACGCGCACGACUCAAAAUCGUGUUCCUUUAGGAGUGUGGGUUCGAUUCCCACCUUCGGCA
rnacentral:tRNA from 1 species